rnacentral:rRNA from 2 species
CUCGGAGUUUGAUCCUGGCUCAGAACGAACGCUGGCGGCAGGCUUAACACAUGCAAGUCGAACGCCCCGCAAGGGGAGUGGCAGACGGGUGAGUAACGCGUGGGAAUCUACCCAGUUCUACGGAACAACUGAGGGAAACUUCAGCUAAUACCGUAUACGCCCUACGGGGGAAAGAUUUAUCGGAAUUGGAUGAGCCCGCGUUGGAUUAGCUAGUUGGUGGGGUAAUGGCCUACCAAGGCGACGAUCCAUAGCUGGUCUGAGAGGAUGAUCAGCCACACUGGGACUGAGACACGGCCCAGACUCCUACGGGGAGGCAGCAGUGGGGAAUAUGGACAAGUGGGCGCAAGCCUGAUCCAGCCAUCGCCGCGUGAGUGAUGAAC